rnacentral:rRNA from 1 species
CCUACGGGAGGCAGCAGUAGGGAAUAUUAGGCAAUGGAGGCAACUCUGACCCAGCCAUGCCGCGUGCAGGAAGAAGGCGUUAUGCGUUGUAAACUGCUUUUAUAUAGGAAGAAAUAGACCUUGCGAGGUAAGUUGACGGUACUAUAUGAAUAAGCACCGGCUAACUCCGUGCCAGCAGCCGCGGUAAUACGGAGGGUGCAAGCGUUGUCCGGAUUUAUUGGGUUUAAAGGGUGCGUAGGCGGUUUAUUAAGUCAGUGGUGAAAGACGGUCGCUCAACGAUUGCAGUGCCAUUGAUACUGGUAGACUUGAGUGGGAUUGAGGUAGCUGGAAUGGAUAGUGUAGCGGUGAAAUGCAUAGAUAUUAUCCAGAACACCAAUUGCGUAGGCAAGUUACUAAGUCUCAACUGACGCUGAGGCACGAAAGUGUGGGGUAUCAAACAGGAUUAGAUACCCUGGUAGUCCACACUGUAAACCGAUGAUAACUAACUGUUGGCUUUCGGGUCAGUGGUACAGAGAAAUCGUUAAGUUAUCCACCUGGGGAGUACGCCGGCAACGGUGAACGUUAAAUGAAUUGACGGCUGAGAGNGCGAGACGACGACGAGGGAGGAGG